GAGGGUGUAGUUCAGUAGGUAGAACGCUUGCCUAACAUGCAGGAAACCCUGGGUUCAAGCCCCCAGCACCCCA
rnacentral:tRNA from 1 species